UACGAAGGGGGCUAGCGUUGCUCGGAAUCACUGGGCGUAAAGCGCACGUAGGCGGGUCGUUAAGUCAGAGGUGAAAGCCUGGAGCUCAACUCCAGAACUGCCUUUGAUACUGGCGACCUCGAGUUCGAGAGAGGUUGGUGGAACUCCGAGUGUAGAGGUGAAAUUCGUAGAUAUUCGGAAGAACACCAGUGGCGAAGGCGGCCAACUGGCUCGAUACUGACGCUGAGGUGCGAAAGCGUGGGGAGCAAACAGG
rnacentral:rRNA from 1 species